GGAUUUCAGGGGUGACCUCAUCGUGGGUUUGGGGGUGACAUCACAGCCCCCGCGGGCGCUGCUGUCCUGCCCCCCCCCCACACGCACUGGGGGGCACCGGCUGUGCCGGUGUGGAUGCGCUGCUGGGGGCUGCUGCAGCACCCCCAGGCCUGGCACAGCUCAUCACAUGGGGCAAUGCCCUGCGCACCGAGGGGUGGAGGGGGCACGGCCGUCCCUGCCCCCCCCCCCAGCCCCACAUGGUGGUGGGGAGCUGCUGAAUGGAUCCUGCUGUCACUGGGCAAACUGGCCACGGCCCCCCUGCGCUGCCUGUGCAGCGAGUUUGCUGGGCCUCAGCCCCCGCGGGGCCACAGGCUGGCGAGCGCUGGCUCCCGGCUGUGUGACGGUGGUGGGGGAGGACGACACCGCCUCCAGCUCGGGGCAGGAAUUUCCCUCCUGGCCCCAUGGUGGGAAAUCCCCAGCCCAGGAUGCGGGACCUCCCGGGUGGCUCCGCAGCAUCUCCGGGACCAUCCCGGCCCCGUCCAGGGGCCGAGUGCCGGCCCCAGCACAGCUGGAGCCAGGUCCUGCGUCCCCCAGGGGCUGUGGGGCAGGGGGGAACCAGCCCCGGGAGCCGCCGUGGGUCAGGGCCGGGGAGGCCCCCGCGUCAGGGGCCCCUUUCGGGGAGGCCCCGGGGAGCAGCGCUCCAAGAGGGACCGAUUCUGGGACCUGGAUUUGGGAGGCCGCUGGGCACGGGGGUCCAGGAGGGACCCGGUUUGGGGAGGCCCUGGGGCGCACAGCCCUGCAAAGGACCCGCUCUGGGGACCUGGUUUGGGAGGCCGCGGGGGACACGGUGCGGGGACCCGGUUCGGGGACCCGGUUCGGGGCAGCCCCACGGUGCAGGGGUCCAAGAGGGACCUGUGUGGAGGACCCGGUUCGGGGGGAACCAGGGCACGGGGAGGCCCCGGGGCUGGGGCUGGGGUUGGGAAAGGGACCUGCCCCAGGGACCUGGUUUGGGGACGGACGCAGUGGGGGCCGUGGCCGGGGCGGCCCCGGUUGGGGGUCCCGGUUGUGGUGGCCCUGGCUCGGCGUCCUUGNNNNNNNNNNNNN
rnacentral:lncRNA from 1 species